rnacentral:lncRNA from 1 species
CCAAGACAGAAAAUAGGGCGCUACUGGGAGGCAGCCCAGAUGUAGUGAUUUGCCCAGUGAUUUGCCCACUGCUUGCCCAAAUCGCUGGGCAAAUCGACUGAAUAUACCAUAGUCACAAGUGAUCGGGGCAGUGAUUUGCCCAAUUGCCCAGAUAAUUUGACCAAGAUCACCGGUCCAAUCGCAAAAUCAAGCACAUCCUCAGAAAAGGGCGUGAACAGUACCAGCCCAACAACUGCAAAGGAGAAGCGAUCUGGCCAAGUGAUUUGCCCACUGCUUACCCAGAUCACUGGUCAAAUCACCCUGUCAAGAAUC